rnacentral:rRNA from 1 species
AGUGAACGCUGGCGGUAGGCCUAACACAUGCAAGUCGAACGGCAGCACAGUAAGAGCUUGCUCUUACGGGUGGCGAGUGGCGGACGGGUGAGGAAUACAUCGGAAUCUACUUUUUCGUGGGGGAUAACGUAGGGAAACAUACGCUAAUACCGCAUACGACCUACGGGUGAAAGCAGGGGAUCUUCGGACCUUGCGCGAUUGAAUGAGCCGAUGUCGGAUUAGCUAGUUGGCGGGGUAAAGGCCCACCAAGGCGACGAUCCGUAGCUGGUCUGAGAGGAUGAUCAGCCACACUGGAACUUAGACACGGUCCAGACUCCUACGGGAGGCAGCAGUGGGGAAUAUUGGACAAUGGGCGCAAGCCUGAUCCAGCCAUACCGCGUGGGUGAAGAAGGCCUUCGGGUUGUAAAGCCCUUUUGUUGGGAAAGAAAAGCAGCAGGUUAAUAACCCGCUGUUCUGACGGUACCCAAAGAAUAAGCACCGGCUAACUUCGUG